rnacentral:rRNA from 1 species
UACGGGGGGGGCAAGCGUUGUUCGGAAUUACUGGGCGUAAAGGGCUCGUAGGCGGCCAACUAAGUCGGAUGUGAAAUCCCCAGGCUCAACCUGGGAACUGCAUCCGAUACUGGAUGGCUUGAAUUCGGGAGAGGGAUGCAGAAUUCCAGGUGUAGCGGUGAAAUGCGUAGAUAUCUGGAGGAAUACCGGUGGCGAAGGCGGCAUCCUGGACCGACAUUGACGCUGAGGAGCGAAAGCCAGGGGAGCAGACGGG